CAAAUUCAGGGAUAAUACAUGCACUACCGAUCCCUCCUCACGGGGGGACGUGCUCAUUAGAUCCAAACCAAUCCCGCUUGCGGGAAAGGUGACUCAUAAGCAUCAUUCGGACCGCUCAUGCCUCGUGCAGGCGGCGCUUCAUUCAAGUAACUGCCCUAUCACGUUGUCGGUUGUGUCUUGGACCACCGAGCGGAUGACGGGUAACGGGGAAUUAGAGUUCGAUUCCGGAGAAAGAGCAUGAGACACGGCUCUUACAUCCAAGGAAGGCAGCAGGCGCGCAAAUUACCCAAUACGCACGUGCGUGAGGUAGCGACAGUACAUAACAAUGGGGCGCACGAGCAAUGUGACCUAAUUGGAAUGAGCCUAAUCUAAAGCUCUGAGUGAGCAACGAUUGGAGGGCAAGUCUGGUGCCAGCAGCCGCGGUAAUUCCAGCUCCACGAGCGUAUAUUUGAGUUGUUGCAGUUAAAACGUGCGUAGUUGAUGAUCAGGGGCCGCGCUGAUGGCAAGCACCCUCCGGGGUGGACUGCCGGCCGGCACUCUACUGGCCGUGGACCUCGGUCCCGGUCACUAAUACCUCGAACAAAUGAGAGCGCAUGAGGCAGGCACCUGUUGCCGGAAUCGAUUAGCAUGGAAUAACACAUGGACCGCAGUGUCUUGUUGUUGGUUAAAGACGUUGCAGUAAUGAUUAACAGGGGUACUUGGGGCCAACCGUACUCUGGGGCUAGGGGUGAAAUCCUGUGACCCUCAGAAGACGACCUAAUGCGAAAGCAGUUGGCUAAGGUACUUUCAUUGAUCAAGCACGAAGGGUGGGGGAGCAAAGACGAUUAGACACCGUUGUAGUCCCACCAGUAAACUAUGUCGACGCGAUCACGGGUGUCUGUGUUAGCAGCGCUCGGGAGCGUAUAGAAAUUAGAGUCUUUGGACUCUGGGGGGAGUAUGGUCGCAAGUCUGAAACUUAAAGGAAUUGACGGAAGGGCACAACCAGGCGUGGAGCCUGCGGCUUAAUUUGACAACACGGGGAAGCUCACCAGGGCAGGACAUGAUUAGGAUUGACAGACAUGAUAGAUCUUUCAUGAUCUCAUGGGUGGUGGUGCAUGGCCGUUCUUAGUUCGUGGGGUGACUUGUCUGGUUGAUUCCGAUAACGAGCGAGACCGAGACCCAAGGUUGGCGCCGUCUCCCUCAUGCACUUUUGGGCUUCGAGGGCGGCGCUCUUCUUGCGCCUUGGGGACCGGCACCCGGUUAAGGGUGUGGAGGUGCUUGGCAAUAACAGGUCUGUGAUGCCCUUAGAUGUCCUGGGCCGCACGCGCGCUACACUGAUGCAGACAAUGGGCACUCACCUAUCCCGAGAGGGCCGGGUAAUCCUGUGAGGCUGCAUCGUGCUGGGGAUCGAGCACUGGAACUGUGCUCGUGAACAUGGAAUGCCUUGUAAUCGUGGGUCACCAACCCACGAUGAAUACGUCCCUGCCCUUUGUACACACCGCCCGUCGCUAUUUCCGAUCGAAUGGCUUGGUGAGGGGGUAGGAGUCUAGCUUGCGCCGGCUUGCUGGUCGCAGUGCAGGGCGAACACCUUCGAACUCGGCCAUUUAGAGGAAGUACAAGUCGUAACAAGGUUUCCGUAG
rnacentral:rRNA from 1 species